UCAGCUCACUCAAAUGCAUGAGGAGCCAGC
rnacentral:piRNA from 1 species